CUGGAAUGCUUGUCUGUGUGGUUGUACAAGCAAUUUUCUUUCUGACAGUGAUUUACAGAAUGAACUGGAAUGAAGCAUCCGAUAAGGCUCUGGUUAAUGCAGGUGUGGUGCAAGAUGUGGAUGCCUCAAACAGUGCCUCUGGUGGUCAAAUGCGGGAUAUCUCAACAGGAGGAGAUGUCCUCAAGCUAGCAUCAUCCAACUAUUAAUCCCGAGAGCCAGCUAAUGUUCUGGGACCUGGGUUUGAAUCCAACCGUGGUGGAUGGUGGAACUUGA